ACACGACUACAUUAGAUACCCCUGUAGUCCCAGCCCUAAACGAUGCGCGUUAGGUGUAUCGGUGACCACGAGUCACCGAGGUGCCGAAGGGAAACCGUGAAACGUGCCGCCUGGGAAGUACGGUCGCAAGGCUGAAACUUAAAGGAAUUGGCGGGGGAGCACCACAACGGGUGGAGCUUGCGGUUUAAUUGGAUUCAACGCCGGAAAUCUUACCGGGACCGACAGCAACAUGAAGGCCAAGCUGAAGACUUUGCCGGAUUAGCUG
rnacentral:rRNA from 1 species